GGCCGCCCCCGCCAGAGGACCCCUAACUCUGUUUUUAUAAUGUUUUUCUGAGUAAACAAGCAAAUAAAUUAAAACUUUCAACAACGGAUCUCUUGGCUCUGGCAUCGAUGAAGAACGCAGCGAAAUGCGAUAAGUAAUGUGAAUUGCAGAAUUCAGUGAAUCAUCGAAUCUUUGAACGCACAUUGCGCCCGCCAGUAUUCUGGCGGGCAUGCCUGUUCGAGCGUCAUUACAACCCUCAGGCCCCCGGGCCUGGCGUUGGGGAUCGGCAGAAGCCCCCUGUGGGCACACGCCGUCCCUCAAAUACAGUGGCGGUCCCGCCGCAGCUUCCAUUGCGUAGUAGCUAACACCUCGCAACUGGAGAGCGGCGCGGCCAUGCCGUAAAACACCCAACUUCUGAAUGUUGACCUCGAAUCAGGUAGGAAUACCCGCUGAACUUAAGCAUAUCA
rnacentral:rRNA from 1 species